UACGUAGGUCGCAAGCGUUGUCCGGAUUUACUGGGCGUAAAGAGCGCGCAGGCGGCUGGUCAAGUCCGAUGUGAAAUCUCCCGCUCAACUGGGAAACUGCAUCGGAAACUGAUCGGCUUGAAGGUGGGAGAGGGUAGUGGAAUUCCCGGUGUAGUGGUGAAAUGCGUAGAUAUCGGGAGGAACACCAGUGGCGAAGGCGACUACCUGGCCCAUUUCUUGACGCUGAGGCGCGAAAGCUAGGGGGAGCGAAACGGG
rnacentral:rRNA from 1 species